GGCCUUGUGUCAGCCUCGGAAAUGAGGUCACUUACGAGCCUGCCUGGGCCACCCGCCACCCGAGCCUCGCAUGCAUUCCUUGUUCAAUGAGAUGUUGUUUUCAAAUGUGUUCCCAGGGAACUGUCGUGGGGUUUUUGUCUUUACCCUCCCUUUCUGCCUGGCUUACAGGCAUAGCUGCAGCUGCUAUAGCAGCAGGCUAGAAACAGGGAUCAGGGUUUGUGAGCAGGCCGGCCGUGGAAGGGCUGGUUUCCCUGGGCUCAGCCAGCGCUGCGGAUGAUAUGGCCAACCUUUACAGCCACUGUCCUCCACUGCCCUGUCACCGAGAGCUGGGCCAGGCCCUCUCCUCUGGGUCUCUGGGAUCAAGGCUAUUGUGCACAGCGAUUCACCCCAACUCUGCUCUCAGCCUUCUCUCCAUCUGGGCCCAGGCUUGUCCCUACGCGGGAGACAUCAUUCCACCAGGAAGCCCUCCAAGAUUAGCUCUUCGUUUCGGCCACUUGCCAAUGGAACCUGUGACCAUCUACUAAGUGCCCAGGGGCAGGUUCAGCGUAUCCUGGCUCUGUGCUCCCUACAUGGCUGCGGUCCACCCUUCAGACAGCUGCCUGCACAUCUGGGAUAGCUGCAGCGGGCCAAGUUGGCACCUCUGAUGUGCCAAGCACUUUACAGAGUCACAUCAUUCUCCCAUCAGCCUGGGGACCUAGGACACUGAGGUUUAGAAGAGUAAGAAGACUUUCCAUGUCGGAGGGGCAGCUGGUGGGAGAGCUGGGUUGAUAAGUAGACUUUCUGGUUCCUGUUUCUCCAGUGCUUCUCUGCUCAGCAUUGCCCAGGGGGGUCUCUGAGAUGAGAUACCUUUCAGAUGCCUCCUGAGUCUGGGAGAGCACCCUGGGUAGCAGCCACCAUGCUGUCCCAGACAUUUCAGACUGGCCUUUCCUAAAGAUGUGCCAUUGGACAUUCAUGGCCUCCACAGAAAUGGAGGGAAGGGUUGUCAGUCUAUACAUUUGGGAAACCUUGUAUUAAACAAAAGUACACAAGUUC